UACGUAGGGUGCAGGCGUUAAUCGGAAUUACUGGGCGUAAAGCGUGCGCAGGCGGUUUGUUAAGACAGAUGUGAAAUCCCCGGGCUUAACCUGGGAACUGCGUUUGUAACUGGCAAGCUAGAGUGUGGCAGAGGGGGGUGGAAUUCCAAGUGUAGCAGUGAAAUGCGUAGAUAUUUGGAGGAACACCAAUGGCGAAGGCAGACCCCUGGGUUAACACUGACGCUCAUGCACGAAAGCGUGGGGAGCAAACAGG
rnacentral:rRNA from 1 species